CCUGGUAGUCCAUGCCGUAAACGAUGAGUGCUAAGUGUUAGAGGGUUUCCGCCCUUUAGUGCUGCAGCAAACGCAUUAAGCAGUCCGCUUGGGGAGUACGGCCGCAAGGCUGAAACUCAAAGGAAUUGACGGGGGCCCGCACAAGCGGUGGAGCAUGUGGUUUAAUUGGAAGCAACGCGAAGAACCUUACCAGGUCUUGACAUCUCCUGACAAUCCUAGAGAUAGGACGUUCCCCUUCGGGGGACAGGAUGACAGGUGGUGCAUGGUUGUCGUCAGCUCGUGUCGUGAGAUGUUGGGUUAAGUCCCGCAACGAGCGCAACCCUUGAUAAAAGUGGCCAGCAUUUAGUUGGGCACUCUAAGGGACUGCCGGUGACAAACCGGAGGGAAGGUGGGGAU
rnacentral:rRNA from 1 species